AUUGAACGCUGGCGGCAUGCUUUACACAUGCAAGUCGAACGGUAACAGGCCGCAAGGUGCUGACGAGUGGCGCACGGGUGAGUAAUGCAUCGGAACGUGCCCAGUCGUGGGGGAUAACUACUCGAAAGAGUAGCUAAUACCGCAUACGAUCUAUGGAUGAAAGCGGGGGACCGUAAGGCCUCGCGCGAUUGGAGCGGCCGAUGUCAGAUUAGGUAGUUGGUGGGGUAAAGGCUCACCAAGCCAACGAUCUGUAGCUGGUCUGAGAGGACGACCAGCCACACUGGGACUGAGACACGGCCCAGACUCCUACGGGAGGCAGCAGUGGGGAAUUUUGGACAAAGGGCGCAAGCCUGAUCCAGCAAUGCCGCGUGCAGGAAGAAGGCCUUCGGGUUGUAAACUGCUUUUGUACGGAACGAAACGGCUCUGGUUAAUACCCGGGGCUAAUGACGGUACCGUAAGAAUAAGCACCGGCUAACUACGUG
rnacentral:rRNA from 1 species